rnacentral:sRNA from 1 species
UUUAGUUUUACUUCCUUUUUUUAUUUCCUUUCUCUUUCUUUUCUAUAAUUUCAUUUUCUAAUUAAUCUUUCUUUUUCAAAUUGGAACCCGGGGUUGUUGGCACAUUAAAAUGGACGUCUGAACGUCAAAUCAUCCCGUAGAGACAUUCUGGACUUUUUUCUUAUCUUUUCUUCUCACACAAAGUCCAACGCUUGAGCCGGAAGAGAUUGUCAUUUGAAAAGACUACGCCCAGGGAUGUUCCAUAAAUUGAGCUGACCUGCCCCUUCAAUAAUGCCGAGGAGGCCGCGAUGAUUCCGGUCCUGUUGGCCAUUUGGGGUUUCCUUCAAAGGAAGACAACAAAAAAAUACCACACUCAAAACCAACGCCACUUUAGUUAUUAAGUCCAUAUUAUGACUUACGUAUUUAAUUAACACCCACAUAUAAAUAUAACAAAUCGCCAAUAACACACUGAAGUCUGCGCACAACCCAAAUAAAGAAUAUAAUUGACACUGUUUA